rnacentral:rRNA from 1 species
UACGGAGGAUGCGAGCGUUAUCCGGAUUUAUUGGGUUUAAAGGGUGCGCAGGCGGCGUGUCAAGUCAGCGGUAAAAUGUCGGGGCUCAACCCCGGCCGGCCGUUGAAACUGGCGUGCUCGAGUUGGAGAGAAGUAUGCGGAAUUCGUGGUGUAGCGGUGAAAUGCAUAGAUAUCACGAAGAGCCCCGAUUGCGAAGGCAGCAUACCGGCUCCACACUGACGCUGAGGCACGAAAGCGUGGGUAUCGAACAGG